AACGGUCUAUACCUGCGGUACCUGCGGAAGGAUCAUUACAGAGUUACUACUCCAAACCCAUUGUGAACCUUACCUAUGUUCUGUUGCCUCGGCGGCGCGGUCAGCGCCCCUCUGAAAAGAGGACGAUGCCCUCCCGCCGGCAGCACCAAACUCUUGAAUUUUACAGCGGAUUACAGUUCUGAUUUAAAAACAAAAAAAACAAGUUAAAACUUUUAACAACGGAUCUCUAGAUCGGAAGAG
rnacentral:misc_RNA from 1 species